rnacentral:rRNA from 1 species
UACAGAGGGCUCAAGCGUUGUUCGGAUUCAUUGGGCGUAAAGGGUGCGUAGGCGGCGCGGUAAGUCGGGUGUGAAAUCUCGGAGCUUAACUCCGAAACUGCAUUCGAUACUGCCGUGCUUGAGGACUGGAGAGGAGACUGGAAUUUACGGUGUAGCGGUGAAAUUCGUAGAUAUUCGCAAGAACACCAGUGGCGAAGGCGGCUCACUGGUCCGGUACUGACGCUGAGGUGCGAAAGCGUGGGGAGCAAACAGG